rnacentral:rRNA from 1 species
UUGGGCUAGAGCAGUACUGGGAUGGGUGACCUCCCGGGAAGUCCUAGCAUUGCACCCU